AAACGUAUCAAUUUCCCGCCAAAAUGUGACAGUCAUAGAAUCUCCAAAGUCCUCAAAAAGUUCUAAAAAAACCGCGGGAAAAAGCCCAAAAGCGAAAAUAAAAAAUCUUGGAAUGACCAGCAAAGGAAGCAGUCCGAAGUGCAAUGAGAUCAAUCAGGACUCUCCCGUGAAGGACAAACACGUCGAAGGGUCCCUAGAGGAGGUCACUCGUCGGGGAUAUUCAAAAUCAGUCGACCAAUCAAAUGGGAGGCCGGACUGUUUCACCACCCGCCACUGCCAGUCUGCAGGAGUCCUCCCUCUGCUUAGUGGAGAAGUAUUAAUUAUUGACGACAUUGCCUCUCAGAAGGUCAAGAGGACGGCCUCCCUACUUCACUCCAUGGGGUGUAGUCAUUGCUUGGAAUCACAUUUGAAACGUGGAUUGUGGGUGUACUCAGUCCCCUCAUCAAUUAGGAGGGACCGUCAGCCGAGGAAGAGACGUCGAGUGAGGAGUGGGGACGGUGGACUCUUCUGGUUGAAAGGGAUCCGAAAGUGGGACUGGGGAUGACCCUGGCCACGGACAGGCUAACAGGGAAUGUCUUUGUGUCCUCAGUGGUACUUGUCCUCACUCACUCAGCUGCCCAAUUGCGUCAUGGGGGACACCAUCAAGACGAAUGACCUCAUUUAUUCCAUCAAUGACCGACCUCUCCGUGGAAUGAGUGUGAAUGACGUCACUCUUUUACUCAAAGUUGUGAUUGUACAAAAAGACAGACCACCACUGGAAGGAUCAGACUGGAGUAUGGUCGGCAGGACAGUCCCCCACCCCACAGAUCCCUGAAGGAGAGGAUGCGGUGUAUGUCUCCCCAUUUACUGCCAGUCAGGAGUCAUCCACGUCUCAGAAAUGUCAAAAUCGAGAGAAGGGGGGACGGGACAUUCGGGGUGGUCAUCACCAGCCAGAGAAGACGACAAAUGACUUUUUCGACAAAGUAUUAAUCAGCCAAAUAGAGCCGACUGUCCAAUACGCCUCGAAUACUCGACUGAAAGUCCCCGUUUGUGGAUGACUUGUAUAGAAGGGAGACGAACUCUUCUCGAUAAACAGUACUUCAGUGUCUGGACUGACACAGGAACAAGUCCUCGAUCUGAUCAAGUGUCUCAAGUCCGAUGUACUGGACCUUGACAUUAAGAGAUAGUUUGCUCACUAAUCACUUUAUUCUUUUUAUUUAUUUCGUCAA